rnacentral:rRNA from 2 species
AGGAAUUAAGCGAGAGAGCGCACACGGGGGAUGCCUAGGCAUUCGUCGGCGACGAAGGACGCGACAAGCUGCGAAAAUCCGGGACGAGGCGCACGGAGCCAUUGACUCCCGGGGAUCCGAAUGGGACAACCCGCCCGGGGCGACCCGGGCACCCCGCGGCCGAACACAUAGGCCACGGGGAGCCAACCCAGCGAACCGAAACAUCCAAGUAGCUGGAGGAGAAGACAUCAACCGAGAUUCCCCAAGUAGCGGCGAGCGAACGGGGAGGAGCCCAAACCGGGAGCGAUCCCGGGGUUGUAGGACUGCCGCGUGACGCCCAUCCGGGGACCGAAGCGGGCUGGAAAGCCCCCCCCCAGCAGGUGACAGGCCUGUAGGGACCUGGUAGGGCGCUUGGCAGCAUCCUGAGUAGGGCGGGGCACGUGAAACCCUGCCUGAAACCGGGGGGACCACCCUCCAAGGCUAAAUACGAACGAAUGACCGAUAGCGAUGAGUACCGUGAGGGAAAGGUGAAAAGCACCCCGAGAGGGGAGUGAAACAGAGCCUGAAACCGUGUGCGCACAUUCAGUCGGAGGGGGGAUUCAUCCUCCUGACGGCGUGCCUUUUGUUUAAUGAGCCAGCGAGUUGCUCGUGUACGGCGAGGUUAAGGCCCUAAGGGCCGGAGCCGCAGCGAAAGCGAGUCUUAACAGGGCGUCCAGUCGUACGCGGCAGACACGAAGCCUUAGUGAUCUACCCAUGGCCAGGCUGAAGCGGGGGUAACACCCCGUGGAGGGCCGUACCGAUAUACAUUGAAACGUGUUCGGAUGAGCUGUGGGUGGGGGUGAAAGGCCAAUCAAACUGGGCGAUAGCUUGUUCUCUCCGAAACAUAUUUAGGUAUGGCGUCGCGACAGGCCGCCGGGGGUAGAGCACUGGAUGGACUAGGGGGCACACCCGCUUACCAAACCCAACCAAACUCCGAAUACCGGCGCACCGAUUCGCGGCAGACAGCCCGCGGGUGAUAAGAUCCGCGGACGAAAGGGAAACAACCCUGACCACCGACUAAGCGUCCCCAAGUACGCGCUGAGUGGGAAAGGAUGUGGGACUGCUCAGACAGCCAGGAGGUUAGCUUAGAAGCAGCUAUCCUUUAAAGAAAGCGUAAUAGCUCACUGGUCGAGCGGUCCCGCGCCCAAAAUUAUCGGGACUAAGCGCGUCACCGAAGUCGUGGGCUCCGCAAGGAGCGGUAGGAGAGCGUUCCGCAGGCCUGGGAAGGCGGGUGGCGAUGCCCGCUGGAGGUACCGGAAACGAGAAUGCUGGCAUGAGUAUGCGAAAACGCGGGUGGAAAGCCCGCGCACCGAAAAUCCAAGGUUUCCCGGGUAAAGUUAAUCUUCCCGGGGUCAGCCGGGACCUAAGACGAGGCCGAGAGGCGUAGCCGAUGGAGACGGGGUCAAGAGUCCCCGGCCUCCCUCGAGGCGAUACGACCGACGGGGCGACGCAUCGGGCAGGAUCGAGCGGCAGAUGGACGCCGCGGAAGGAGCGCAAGGCGGAGGGGCGGCAAAUCCCCCCUCCACAUGCCCCAGACUCCGGACCGGGGGAGGGCUUCGGCCCGAGUCCGAGAGAUCCCAGCCGGUGCCGGGAAAACCCCCUAAGGGAGCCGAGAGGGAGCCCGUACCGUAAACCGACACAGGUGGAUGGGGCGAGAAGCCCAAGGUGCUUGAGACAACCCAGGAGAAGGAACUCGGCAAAUUAACCCCGUAACUUCGGGAUAAGGGGAGCCCCCUUCCGUGACCCCGCGCAGGGCGAGCGGAGGGAGGCCGCAGAGAAAUGGCAGAAGCGACUGUUUACCAAAAACACAGGGCCAUGCGAACCAGCAAUGGGCAGUAUAUGGUCUGACACGUGCCCGGUGCCGGAAGGUUAACGGGAGGCGUCAUCCGCGAGGAGAAGCGCUGAACCGAAGCCCCGGUAAACGGCGGCCGUAACUAUAACGGUCCUAAGGUAGCGAAAUUCCUUGUCGGGUAAGUUCCGACCUGCACGAAUCGUGUAACGACUUCUGCACUGUCUCCUCCUGAGACUCAGCGAAAUUGCAGUGCCGGUGAAGAUGCCGGCAUCCCGCACCUGGACGGAAAGACCCCAUGAACCUUCACUGAAUUUUGACAUUGGUUUUAGGCCUUGGAUGUGUAGGAUAGGUGGGAGGCUUUGAUGGCGGGGCGCCAGCCCUUCCGGAGCCGCCCUUGAAAUACCACCCUUGCAAGGCUUGAGGCCUAACCCGCGCCCCUGACCGGGGCGGGGGACCGUGUCUGAUGGUCAGUUUGACUGGGGCGGUCGCCUCCCAAAAGGUAACGGAGGCAUCCAAUGGUUCCCUCAGCGCGGUCGGUAAUCGCGCGCAGAGCAUAAAGGCAAAAGGGAGCCUGACUGCGAGGCGGACACGCCGGGCAGGUACGAAAGUAGGGCUUAGUGAUCCCGCGGUACAGCGUGGAACGGCCGUUGCUCAAUGGAUAAAAGGUACUCUGGGGAUAACAGGCUGAUCUCCCCCAAGCGUUCAUAGCGACGGGGAGGUUUGGCACCUCGAUGUCGGCUCGUCGCAUCCUGGGGCUGGAGAAGGUCCCAAGGGUUUGGCUGUUCGCCAAUUAAAGCGGCACGCGAGCUGGGUUCAAAACGUCGUGAGACAGUUUGGUCCCUAUCCGGUGUGGGCGUACGAGACUUGAGGGAGCCUGUCCUUAGUACGAGAGGACCGGGACGGACGCACCUCUGGUGUACCGGCUGUCGCGCCAGCGGCACCGCCGGGUAGCCAUGUGCGGAUCGGAGAAACGCUGAAAGCAUCUAAGCGUGAAGCCGUUCCCAAGAUAGGGUCUCGCGGGGGCAACCCCCUGAAGGGCCGUCAUAGACGAUGACGUCGAUAGGUCGCAGGUGUAAGCGCGGCGACGCGUUGAGCCGAGCGAUACUAAUAGCCCGUGAGGCUUUUCCUU